AUACGGAGGGUGCAAGCGUUGUUCGGAAUCAUUGGGCGUAAAGCGGGUGUAGGCGGCAAGGUAAGUCGGAUGUGAAAUCCCAGGGCCCAACCCUGGAACUGCAUUCGAAACUGCCUUACUAGAGUCGCGGAGAGGAUGGCGGAAUUCCCGGUGUAGGGGUGAAAUCCGUAGAUAUCGGGAGGAACACCAGUGGCGAAGGCGGCCAUCUGGACGCUGACUGACGCUCAGACCCGAAAGCGUGGGGAGCAAACAGGAUUAGAAACCCCGGUAGUCC
rnacentral:rRNA from 1 species